rnacentral:rRNA from 1 species
GAUGAACGCUGGCGGCGUGCCUAAUACAUGCAAGUCGAGCGAACAGACGAGGAGCUUGCUCCUCUGACGUUAGCGGCGGACGGGUGAGUAACACGUGGAUAACCUACCUAUAAGACUGGGAUAACUUCGGGAAACCGGAGCUAAUACCGGAUAACAUGUUGAACCGCAUGGUUCAACAGUGAAAGACGGUUUUGCUGUCACUUAUAGAUGGAUCCGCGCCGCAUUAGCUAGUUGGUAAGGUAACGGCUUACCAAGGCAACGAUGCGUAUCCGACCUGAGAGGGUGAUCGGCCACACUGGAACUGAGACACGGUCCAGACUCCUACGGGAGGCAGCAGUAGGGAAUCUUCCGCAAUGGGCGAAAGCCUGACGGAGCAACGCCGCGUGAGUGAAGAAGGUCUUCGGAUCGUAAAACUCUGUUAUUAGGGAAGAACAAAUGUGUAAGUAACUAUGCACGUCUUGACGGUACCUAAUCAGAAAGCCACGGCUAACUACGUG